CUUAGAUCCAAUGGACAACAUAUAGGUGUUAAGAAUAAUUAUUUAGUUUAAAAAUGUUUUUCAUUUUUUCAGGAACAAUUAUUGUUUUAAUAACGUUAAUAUAUUAUCCAAGAGCGUUUACUCAAGAAAUACAUGUAUCGCCAUUUAUAUAUGAUGUCCAACACAAAGAUUACGUAACAAUACAUAUAAAAGGAUUGGCAUCGACUUUUGAUAUGAUUAAAUGGACAAAUUGCAAUAUAAUGGAUUUAGAAUCUCGAAUUUUGAUGAAAGCAAAUUUAACUUACGACGAUUCAUCAGUCCUGGCACGAUUUUAUACACCAUCGUCAUUAGGCGCUUUUAAAGUACAGUGUUCAAAAUACGCCACACAAUUAAACUUUGAUGGAAAUUUUCUACUCGUUAAUAGCUUAUACUUGUUAAUUCAAAAUGUGGAACCAAGUACAAUUUCACUCGGAGAAAGUGUUUCUCUCAAAUUAGAAGUUUUCAAUCUAACCGAGCCUGUUCCUUUGCUAUGUCAUUUAUCUGAUAAUGACGAUUAUGUAGUUUUACCAACAAAUUCAAUUAACGGAAAUAAACUUUCGACGUGGAUAACUUGUCCUGAACAUCAGUUCACCAAAGCAGCAGAGUACCGCGUGACCGUAGUUUAUUCAGUAGAUGCCAUUGAAUCUGUUUUAAACAUGAACAACUUUAAGAUGAUUGCAGUUCACGCAAGUCGGCCAAAAUUGAUAAAGUCCGGUUACACUAAAGAUUUAAGAACACUUUGGUUUCAGUUUGACCAAAAUGUAGAAGGUCCAGAAUCGUGUAAUGAAAUAUUUACCCACAACACAUUGACUCAACUCGGUUAUGAUGCCAUUUGUUGGUUCUCAUCUGACCAUUUAACGGUUCUUUUGGGGAAUAUUACCGAGAUAAAAGACAACCAAUUCAUCAUUCAGUUUUCUGCGAAUAAUGCCAUACGUUCUUACAGGUCGUGGCCUCAAUAUAGUUCGGCUAUGUUGAGUCACGAAAUAAUUGUGCCUAUAGCAGCAUCUGAAGUCACAUUGCCAAGAUACUGGUUACACGGUCCUCGAUAUUAUUGUGGAAGUCCCAAAAAUAAUUCAAAUUAUGUAGACGAUCCAGCAAAAUUUACAAUAGAGGACAGUAAAUGCCUAGGCCAGAAAAUGAUAAGUGCUUUUUCAAUGAGUUCGUUAUUACUUAAGUACAACACAAUUUUAAGUGUGAAUGAUUAUUCAAAUUCGGCAAUGAUGUCGCCGGAAGAAGCGUCUCAACGAAAUAUUAUAUUGAGAAAUAGUGUUAAAGACAUAGUCAAAGCUGUCAAGAGGCAAAACUUAGGCACUGGUAUUUGCCUUAAUAGUAACAUGAUGUUGCCAAAUGUGAUGUACACCUUAGAAAUAACCGGUACCAAUAUUUUAUACCAAUCUGGUUCAAAAACUCAACUACAAUUCAAGUUAGCCGAAACCCAAAAUUUUAAAGCAGAAUUAAAUCUUCAAAUAAUAACAAGACCAUCAUAUGCUACCGGCACUGAAGCUGUUUUUGAAACUAUGUUGUACUUAACAUGCGAUGAGUUAGAUAAUAAUUUAUAUAAUAACCUUCAGUACGACUGGUAUAUCGUAGCAGACGGUAUCAAGCGGAAUAUAAUCGGUAUAAACGCGCCUACAUUGAUAUUGGAUACAAAGGAGUUAACUCAUAAUUAUUAUAAUUACACUGUAGGUUGUGACCUACGAGGAGAAAUAAAAUUCAAUAAUAUAAAAGAGCCAGUAAUAGCAAAAGACGAAAUUAAAUUUGGAAUAGAACCAUUUGACGCUAAAGCAAUUAUAAUACCUCAGCAAUUAGUGAUUUCAUUUGGCCGUUCUAUACGACUUAAAGUCACCCACAGGGAUUUUUCGAGAAAAGAAAAUAUACAAUAUAAAUGGUUGUGCAAGACAAUUAAGGGUGACGAUUGCUUGAUGGUUGGUAACUAUCCUGAACUAAAAGCAGCCUUUGAUCAAACAGGUUCUUCAGAACUCACAAUUCGUGAAGUUACAUUGCAGCCUGGAAGAUAUUAUGUCGUUGUUCAAAUAUCACUAUCUGGAGUUCCAAUAGAUUCAGCGGUUUCAGUGUUGGUCGUGUCUUAUGAAUCUGGUCCACAUAUAUCGUUCUAUUGGCCAAAUAAAAACUUCAACCCAAGUGUUCCUUUUUCGGCUGGAAAAAGUUUUUCAAUUGCUGCAACGGUUUCUUACUUGAUAUCAGGCUGUCUAGCUACUUGGAGCACUUCAGCAGACACUGGCUAUACCUAUUUAACGUCUAAACAAAUGGGAGGGAAAGUUAAAAUUCUAGAAGAGUUUACGCCAAGCCGAAAUAAAACAUUUUCGCGUAAUGUGCGUUUAACCAUGACUUUACCCAAUAAUGUUAAGUAUAAUACGAAUUACCUAAUUAAGUUAAGUAUACUCUGUGAUUCAUUGAAACAUCCAAUUUUUGGUAUAAUACCGAUUUCAAUCAUUGCUUCUCCAAUGAUUUCCGAAUUAAAAGUGGAACCGAUAGAGGGUAUUGGACUCACAACAGUAUUCAGAUUUCAAACCAUUCCUGCUUAUGACACUAAGUCAAGUCAUCCCAUACAAUAUAGUUUUGGAUAUUAUGUCCCAUCAUUGUUAUCUAGACCGAUAUAUUUUUAUUCGUCUUCUUAUUGGUUAAAAACGGAAUAUAUUCUUCCGUCAGUCAACUCGUCUACUACUCGGAUAAAGACAGUAUUAAGAGCGUGUAACAUGUAUAAGAGUUGUAGUAUCACUGAAGGUCCAGAUGUCAUUAUUUAUCAACCAACUCAAAUCUCUAAUUCAGACUUGACAAAAUACUCGUCGAAGUUCAAAAGUUUGUUAGAGUUGCAAAUGGUUGGUGAAUCAGAAGCUUACCUUUUUUCUAUAACGGGAACGCUGAGAUUAUAUGAGCAUAGUAAAUACCAACAAUUUACAGAAAAAAUAAGUGAUGUCAUAGAAGAAUUCAUAAACGAUAAUUUAAUCAAAAGUUUGUCUCAUCGCACUGAAUACCUUCCAAUCAGUUUAACGUACAUGGAGUCAUUUACACGAACGCUACCUACAUUAUUUAAAUUCAAUAAUAUAGUAUUGCAAUCAUUAUUAUUACUUAGAGAUACUAUUUACACAAUCUUGACAACAGCUGAUAAUCUACCGACAUCAUUAAACAUCAUUACUGAUAUUAAAUAUAUUAUUCGAAAUUUUAACUCAAUUGACCAACUCAUUUACUCAAACACGGAAAUAAAUUCAAAAAUUGUAGAAUUGUUAUUACGGGCGUCAGAAACGGCUAUAUUGAAUUAUGACAACGAAUCUGACGAAUUGCGUGAAAAGAAAAAAAUACUCGACAAUAUUAACAAAUACAGUAAACAAAUUUGUCUUGCAUUAGACGAACGAGAAGAAAUGUAUGUCGGUUCUUUGGUUGGAAGUUUUAGUGUGCAAAAUGAUAACAGUUUAAGGACACAAGAUUCAUACGUGGAAAUUCCUACAUGUAGUUCAGAUUUAUACAAAAAAUGCAUUAAACAAAAAACAAAAGUUAUGUAUAAUGACAGUUUUUUUCAAGAAGUUUUAAGUACUAAAUCUCAAUUUUGCAUCGUUGGUAUUCAUUUUUACGAUGACCUCUUCACUCAAGUAUAUGGAAGUAAAGGAGUAAAACUCAAAAGGCAUAGUAGUAUAUAUGGCUAUCGAGUUUUAAAAAUAAACAACAUGAAAGAACUUUUGACUAGUGAAGAAGCGAAUGAAUUUUCAAGUUCAUUAAACGUUAUUGAAAUUCCGCUGGAAUCAAAAUCAGAAAAUAUUUAUGAAUGUAGAUAUUGGCAUGACACGCGUGGCUGGUCAAACGAAAGUUGUAAAUUUUUGGGAAUAGAAAACAAAGAACUUUCAAAUUAUGUCAAAUGUGAAUGCCCUGUAUUUAAAUUUUACGGAAUAUUUUCAGCAGAUUAUCAAAUUCCUUUGGACAGUUUUGCAUCGGAAACUGCACAAAACUCAAUUGUAUAUGAUAAGCAAAAAAAUCAACUGAAUAACAGUUCAAAAAUAUUAUCUCAACGAUCUUUGAAUGACGUUUACGUCGCUUUUAGUAUAACCGGUAAUUCAGCUGAUUUGUAUGAUCAAAAUCUUGAAACGUUGGAAAACUCGUUGAGCCAACAAUUAACAGAAAAAAUAGAAUCGCUUUCUGCAAUUAUGAAAGGACUGAAAAUAAUAUUAAAUGAACCGGUGUAUAUUACCUUACAUUUAAUACAGACUACAAAUAUUACAACUGACGAACCAAUACAGAUAUUAGCAAAAAAAUUAAGUGACAGAUCAUUAAUUUUAUACGAUUUACAUAGAUCUAGAUUGAAUGUACCAGAACAGCCUUUGCGAAUAGUGCAGCCGCGAGAUAAAGAGGUCAACGACAUGGGAAAACCUAUUGCGAUGUUUUUUGCAAUAUUUGUAUCCUUCCUUGCUUGCUUUGUCUUUGGUUCAAUUUUAAUCAAACGUCAUCAAAUUGUUACAGAAGUUUCCGACACUCAACAAAAUGUAAAUCGAAAUGACCCAAUGAAACGACCAAAGUAUAAGCAGUUAGAGUCUACUGAAUUAAUAGAACAGCAUUCAAGUUGUGAGCAGAGAUACCGUCACUUUAGUACCAGUUUUGAAGUGUUUCUGUAAUAUCCUUCACAGAAUAUGUUCACAAAUAUUACUACUGUAAUUAAAAAUGUAAAACAAAAAGAUGUCGAAUUAUCAGACUCUGGAAUCACCCUACAUUCUGACAGA